AUGGAGCAGAAAGAACUGCGGAAAUGGUAAAAUAGCUUGUAAUAUUAGUAUAAUAAAAAAGGGGAAAGGCCAUCUCAUUUUAAUAUAUUUCUUCUCCCCUCUUCCCUCUUCUUGUUCUUGGAGUUGUUGGUCUCCCCGGAGGAGCUAAAAGGCCCCGCCUUUUGGCUCGUUCUCAGACUCACCACCUGCUCCAAGAAAAGCUUCCCGGGAGAUGGCGCGCACCGAGAAGAUUGCCGGUGAUGGCUGCUCCGGCGGCGAAGGCCACGUAGAGGUGGAGGUCGGCGUGGGGAUGGACGGCAAGGGGGUGAUUGAGUGCCGGAUAUGUCAGGAGGAGGGCGACGAGGGCGCCAUGGACUCACCCUGCGCCUGCGCUGGCACGCUCAAGUUCGCCCACAGGAAAUGCAUACAGAGAUGGUGCAACAAGAAGGGGAACAUUACAUGUGAAAUCUGCAACCAGGUCUACUCACCAAAUUAUGUCCUCCCUCCACCCAAAUGUUGUUCAGAUGAAAUGGAUAUCGAUCCUAGGCAAAACUGGGUUGGAAGAAUCGAUACUCAUGAUGAUUCUCAUUUUUUAGCCAUUGCCAUCGCAGAGCAGCAGCUGCUGCAAGCUGAAUUUGAGGAUUGUGUAUCCACAAGUUCUAGUGGUGUUACAUGCUGCCGAACCAUUGCUUUAAUUUUGAUGUUCCUUCUGCUUGUGCGCCAUGUAAUUGUCAUUGUGAGGGAUGUUAGCAUGCUACAAGAUGCAACAGUGCUGUUCAGUGCAACGCUUCAGUUUGCGGGAUUCUUUCUUCCCUGUUAUGUGAUAGCACGUUCUUGCUAUGCUUUGCAACACCGGAGACGAAGACAGGUAUUGUUCACUUAAACCCAGUGUUGCUCGAUUGAACACCUCUGGUUCCAUUAAAAAUCCAGUAUCUGCUUUCUGCUGUAUAGGGACUUAUCUGAACCUUGAAGAACACCAAGACAUACCAACUGAAAGUCUGAAACUCCAUCUUGGCACCAGGCUACCAAGUAACCAAGAUGAGAGCCUGUAAAGUAACGCUUCCCGUUACUUGGAUUGGAGCCACUGCGAAGCAUUUGGUUUCUCCCCUGAAAAUGUAGGCGGUGUAGGACACGAUGUAGCGAAAACAGCCCUCGUAAAGCUCAACUGUACAUACGAGAACAAGGCCUUUUUACAGCUGCAAAACAUGUAACCUCACACAUUUCUAUUGCAAAUAAAGAACAAGGAAUGACCGCCCACCA